AGCAGCCGCGGUAAUUCCAGCUCCAAUAGCGUAUAUUAAAGUUGUUGCAGUUAAAAAGCUCGUAGUUGAAUUUCGGGAUCAGUUGGUCGGUCGUGCCUCGGUACGUACUGGUCAAAUUGAUUCCUACCUUCUGACGAACCACGAUGUCAUUAAUUUGGUGUCGCGGGAAAUCAGGACUGUUACUUUGAAAAAAUUAGAGUGUUUAAAGCAGGCUCGCGCUUGAAUACAUUAGCAUGGAAUAAUGAAAUAGGACGUUUGAUUCUAUUUUGUUGGUUUCUAGGAUCGACGUAAUGAUUAAUAGGGAUAGUUGGGGGCAUUAGUAUUCAAUUGUCAGAGGUGAAAUUCUUGGAUUUAUUGAAGACUAACUACUGCGAAAGCAUUUGCCAAGGAUGUUUUCAUUAAUCAAGAACGAAAGUUAGGGGAUCGAAGACGAUCAGAUACCGUCGUAGUCUUAACCAUAAACUAUGCCGACUAGGGAUCGGAUGAUGUAAUUUUUAAUGACUCAUUCGACGCCUUACGG
rnacentral:misc_RNA from 1 species